rnacentral:rRNA from 1 species
GAUGAACGCUGGCGGCGUGCCUAAUACAUGCAAGUCGAGCGAACAGACGAGGAGCUUGCUCCUCUGACGUUAGCGGCGGACGGGUGAGUAACACGUGGAUAACCUACCUAUAAGACUGGGAUAACUUCGGGAAACCGGAGCUAAUACCGGAUAAUAUAUUGAACCGCAUGGUUCAAUAGUGAAAGACGGUUUUGCUGUCACUUAUAGAUGGAUCCGCGCCGCAUUAGCUAGUUGGUAAGGUAACGGCUUACCAAGGCAACGAUGCGUAGCCGACCUGAGAGGGUGAUCGGCCACACUGGAACUGAGACACGGUCCAGACUCCUACGGGAGGCAGCAGUAGGGAAUCUUCCGCAAUGGGCGAAAGCCUGACGGAGCAACGCCGCGUGAGUGAUGAAGGUCUUCGGAUCGUAAAACUCUGUUAUUAGGGAAGAACAAAUGUGUAAGUAACUAUGCACGUCUUGACGGUACCUAAUCAGAAAGCCACGGCUAACUAC